rnacentral:rRNA from 1 species
GAUGAACGCUGGCGGCGUGCCUAAUACAUGCCAGUCGAGCGAACAGACGAGGAGCUUGCUCCUCUGACGUUAGCGGCGGACGGGUGAGUAACACGUGGAUAACCUACCUAUAAGACUGGGAUAACUUCGGGAAACCGGAGCUAAUACCAGAUAAUAUAUUGAACCGCAUGGUUCAAUAGUGAAAGACGGUUUUGCUGUCACUUAUAGAUGGAUCCGCGCCGCAUUAGCUAGUUGGUAAGGUAACGGCUUACCAAGGCAACGAUGCGUAGCCGACCUGAGAGGGUGAUCGGCCACACUGGAACUGAGACACAGUCCAGACUCCUACGGGAGGCAGCAGUAGGGAAUCUUCCGCAAUGGGCGAAAGCCUGACGGAGCAACGCCGCGUGAGUGAUGAAGGUCUUCGGAUCGUAAAACUCUGUUAUUAGGGAAGAACAAAUGUGUAAGUAACUAUGCACGUCUUGACGGUACCUAAUCAGAAAGCCACGGCUAACUACGUG